rnacentral:rRNA from 1 species
UUUGGCCUACGGGGGGCAGCAGUGGGGAAUAUUGGGCAAUGGGCGCAAGCCUGACCCAGCAACGCCGCGUGAAGGAUGAAGGUUUUCGGAUUGUAAACUUCUGUCGCGAGGGACGAAGAAUGACGGUACCUCGUAAGAAAGCCCCGGCUAACUACGUGCCAGCAGCCGCGGUAAUACGUAGGGGGCAAGCGUUAUCCGGAUUUACUGGGUGUAAAGGGAGCGUAGGUGGCGUGCCAAGUCAGGAGUGAAAACCCAGGGCCCAACCCUGGGACUGCUCUUGAAACUGGCAGGCUUGAGUGCUGGAG